rnacentral:tRNA from 1 species
CAGGGAGACAACAAAAUGUUAAAUAUUAAUUUUGUCACCUUAGGUCGAUCGGUAUCUCACAUUCUUAAUUUAUUUAAGAAUUUUAUUUCCUAAGUUUUUCUAGGUCACACCCAUUAUUUUCCUGGGCCAUUAGCUCAGGUGGUUAGAGCGCACCCCUGAUAAGGGUGAGGUCCCUGGUUCAAGUCCAGGAUGGCCCAUAUCUCUAUGUUGGGGGUAUAGCUCAGUUGGUAGAGCGCCUGCUUUGCAAGCAGGAUGUCAGCGGUUCGAGUCCGCUUACCUCCACUGAUUACCACCUCUUUCAUAUAUAGAAGGGAAAUUUUUUAAGGUGUGAUCAAAUUCUGAACGAAUCUAGCUUCCUGAUAACCAAAUUAAGAUGCUGGAUUCAUUGAAUUAAUUUCAUUGUUUUCAGAGAACCUUGACAACUGCAUAGAUUAUUUUUAAAGACAAUAAGCAUUUUUAUAAUGCAGAUUUAUUAUUUGUGCAAAUGCAUUAAAUAACAAUUCUAUUAAGCUGAUGCUUCAAAUUUUUGAAGUUAUU